rnacentral:rRNA from 1 species
UAUGGAGAGUUUGAUCCUGGCUCAGAGUGAACGCUGGCGGCGUGCCUAAUACAUGCAAGUCGAACGAUGAAGCUUCUAGCUUGCUAGAAUGCUGAUUAGUGGCGCACGGGUGAGUAACGCAUAGGUUAUGUGCCUCUUAGUUUGGGAUAGCCAUUGGAAACGAUGAUUAAUACCAGAUACUCCCUACGGGGGAAAGAUUUAUCGCUAAGAGAUCAGCCUAUGUCCUAUCAGCUUGUUGGUAAGGUAAUGGCUUACCAAGGCUAUGACGGGUAUCCGGCCUAAGAGGGUGAACGGACACACUGGAACUGAGACACGGUCCAGACUCCUACGGGAGGCAGCAGUAGGGAAUAUUGCUCAAUGGGGGAAACCCUGAAGCAGCAACGCCGCGUGGAGGAUGAAGGUUUUAGGAUUGUAAACUCCUUUUGUUAGAGAAGAUAAUGACGGUAUCUAACGAAUAAGCACCGGCUAACUCCGUGCCAGCAGCCGCGGUAAUACGGAGGGUGCAAGCGUUACUCGGAAUCACUGGGCGUAAAGAGCGCGUAGGCGGGAUAGUCAGUCAGGUGUGAAAUCCUAUGGCUUAACCAUAGAACUGCAUUUGAAACUACUAUUCUAGAGUGUGGGAGAGGUAGGUGGAAUUCUUGGUGUAGGGGUAAAAUCCGUAGAGAUCAAGAGGAAUACUCAUUGCGAAGGCGACCUGCUGGAACAUUACUGACGCUGAUUGCGCGAAAGCGUGGGGAGCAAACAGGAUUAGAUACCCUGGUAGUCCACGCCCUAAACGAUGGAUGCUAGUUGUUGGAGGGCUUAGUCUCUCCAGUAAUGCAGCUAACGCAUUAAGCAUCCCGCCUGGGGAGUACGGUCGCAAGAUUAAAACUCAAAGGAAUAGACGGGGACCCGCACAAGCGGUGGAGCAUGUGGUUUAAUUCGAAGAUACACGAAGAACCUUACCUAGGCUUGACAUUGAGAGAAUCCGCUAGAAAUAGUGGAGUGUCUGGCUUGCCAGACCUUGAAAACAGGUGCUGCACGGCUGUCGUCAGCUCGUGUCGUGAGAUGUUGGGUUAAGUCCCGCAACGAGCGCAACCCCCUUUCUUAGUUGCUAACAGGUUAUGCUGAGAACUCUAAGGAUACUGCCUCCGUAAGGAGGAGGAAGGUGGGGACGACGUCAAGUCAUCAUGGCCCUUACGCCUAGGGCUACACACGUGCUACAAUGGGGUGCACAAAGAGAAGCAAUACUGCGAAGUGGAGCCAAUCUUCAAAACACCUCUCAGUUCGGAUUGUAGGCUGCAACUCGCCUGCAUGAAGCUGGAAUCGCUAGUAAUCGCAAAUCAGCCAUGUUGCGGUGAAUAUGUUCCCGGGUCUUGUACUCACCGCCCGUCACACCAUGGGAGUUGUGUUUGCCUUAAGUCAGGAUGCUAAAUUGGCUACUGCCCACGGCACACACAGCGACUGGGGUGAAGUCGUAACAAGGUAACCGUAGGUGAACCUGCGGUUGGAUCACCUCCUU